AUUGAACGCUGGCGGCAGGCCUAACACAUGCAAGUCGAGCGGGGUUUUCGGACCUAGCGGCGGACGGGUGAGUAAUGCGUAGGAAGCGGCCCGAUAGAGGGGGAUACCAGUUGGAAACGACUGUUAAUACCGCAUAAUGUCUACGGACCAAAGUGUGGGACCUUCGGGCCACAUGGUAUCGGAUGCGCCUACGUGGGAUUAGCUAGUUGGUGAGGUAAUGGCUCACCAAGGCGACGAUCUCUAGCUGGUUUGAGAGGAUGAUCAGCCACACUGGAACUGAGACACGGUCCAGACUCCUACGGGAGGCAGCAGUGGGGAAUAUUGGACAAUGGGCGCAAGCCUGAUCCAGCCAUGCCGCGUGUGUGAAGAAGGCCUUCGGGUUGUAAAGCACUUUCAGCGAGGAGGAAGGGGUGUGUGUUAAUAGUACACACCUUUGACGUUACUCGCAGAAGAAGCACCGGCUAACUCUGUGCCAGCCGCCGCCGUAACAC
rnacentral:rRNA from 1 species